rnacentral:tRNA from 1 species
GCCUUCGUGGUGUAAUGGUCAGGGCACUCGGCCCGUAUUCGAGAGGUACGAGGUUCGAGUCCCGGCGGGGGCA